UUGUCUCAAAGAUUAAGCCAUGCAUGUCUCAGUACAAGCCGAAUUAAGGUGAAACCGCGAAAGGCUCAUUAAAUCAGUUAUGGUUCCUUAGAUCGUACCCACAUUUACUUGGAUAACUGUGGUAAUUCUAGAGCUAAUACAUGCAAACAGAGCCCCAACCGGAAACGGAAGGGGCGCUUUUAUUAGAUCAAAACCAAUCGGUGUCGGUCUCCGUCAUCGUACAACUUGGUGACUCUGAAUAACUUUACGCUGAUCGCACGGUCUCGCACCGGCGACGCAUCUUUCAAAUGUCUGCCUUAUCAACUGUCGAUGGUAGGUUCUGCGCCUACCAUGGUUGUAACGGGUAACGGGGAAUCAGGGUUCGAUUCCGGAGAGGGAGCCUGAGAAACGGCUACCACAUCCAAGGAAGGCAGCAGGCGCGCAAAUUACCCACUCCCGGCACGGGGAGGUAGUGACGAAAAAUAACGAUACGGGACUCAUCCGAGGCCCCGUAAUCGGAAUGAGUACACUCUAAACCCUUUAACGAGGAUCAAUUGGAGGGCAAGUCUGGUGCCAGCAGCCGCGGUAAUUCCAGCUCCAAUAGCGUAUAUUAAAGUUGUUGCGGUUAAAAAGCUCGUAGUCGAAUCUGUGUCCCGCGCCGCCGGUUCAUCGUUCGCGGUGUUAACUGGCGUGCCGCGGGACGUCCUGCCGGUGGGCUUAGCCCGAGAGGGCGGCCCAACUCAAUCCCGCCGCGGUGCUCUUCAUUGAGUGUCGAGGUGGGCCGGCACGUUUACUUUGAACAAAUUAGAGUGCUUAAAGCAGGCUAAAACUUCGCCUGAAUACUGUGUGCAUGGAAUAAUGGAAUAGGACCUCGGUUCUAUUUUGUUGGUUUUCGGAACCCCGAGGUAAUGAUUAAUAGGAACGGAUGGGGGCAUUCGUAUUGCGACGUUAGAGGUGAAAUUCUUGGAUCGUCGCACGACGGACAG
rnacentral:rRNA from 1 species